GUGCUUGCUUUGGCAGCAUAUAUACUAAAAUUGGAAUGAUACAGAUAUUAGCAUGGUCCCUGCUCAAGGAUGGCAUGCACGUUUGCGAGCAUUCCAUAUUUAA
rnacentral:snRNA from 1 species